rnacentral:misc_RNA from 1 species
GAUGAAGAACGUAGCGAAAUGCGAUAAGUAAUGCGAAUUGCAGAAUUCAGUGAGUCAUCGAAUCUUUGAACGCACAUUGCGCCCUUUGGUAUUCCAAAGGGCAUGCCUGUUCGAGCGUCAUUUGUACCCUCAAGCUUUGCUUGGUGUUGGGCGUCUUGUCUCUAGCUUUGCUGGAGACUCGCCUUAAAGUAAUUGGCAGCCGGCCUACUGGUUUCGGAGCGCAGCACAAGUCGCACUCUCUAUCAGCAAAGGUCUAGCAUCCAUUAAGCCUUUUUUUCAACUUUUGACCUCGGAUCAGGUAGGGAUACCCGCUGAACUUAAGCAUAUCAAUAAGCGGAGGA